AAAAUAAAUGCAACUAAUCUUACCCUAUCCAGUCAAAUCAAGAAUAGCUGGAUACCAUUAAAUUCUUCUUUUCAUUUCCAAUGCCCAGCAUAAUGAAUAGCAGGCUUUCAAUAAAAAUAAAACGUUUUCUCUGCUACUCUUCCUUCCAGAAAACUCUUCUCUUCCUUCAGUCUGGCGGUUUUGGCCAAAGGUUUCCCACCGCUCUCCGAACCAUCACAGGAACUUCCUUCUCCAGGUAAAAGCAUUCAUUUCUUCUCAGGGCCUCCUUUGCUAUAGUGUGUGCGUAAAUGUUUUUUGCCUUUUGGAUGAAACUGAACUCAAUCUCCUGAAAACUGUUGCAAUGAGUCUGAAUAUCUCUGAUAAUUGCUCUAAUGACCGAUUUGUCUGUAUUUUUGCUUUUACAUUUCUUUAUAAUGGUUCUCGAAUCCCCCAUAACAUCUAUUCUGUUAACUCCCAGUCUAAUCCCUAGUUUUAUUGCAUGUAAUCCUGCAUAUGCCUCUGCUGUAAAUGGAUUUGCUACGUUUGAAUGAGUAACUGCUUGUGUUGCAAGUAGUACCCCUUCCUCGUUCCAUGCUAUUAAACCCGAUGCCGAUCUGAAAUCCUGACUGUUGAAGGCUGCAUCAAAAUGAAUAAUGGUCCUACCGCUUCUGGACACCUGUUGAGAAAACUCAUGAGACAAAAGAGUAAUUUUUCCUUCCUUUGUAACUGCAAGUUCUGUAAUAUAAUCGCUGAUCUUCCUAACGAUUUCUGAUCCUGACAUAUUCUUUCUUUCAUAAACGAGCUGGUUUCUACUGAACCAUAUGAACCAGAGGCUACAAUAGAAGAGUCGAAGUUGUUCAUCAGUUCCUCUAGCAAAGACCCAUGUAAGCCAACCCCAUAUAUUAUCAUUAUUCUGACUCAGUAGCCAUGAAAGAUUCAACUGAUUCCAAACUUCUAUCGAUGUAGGGCAUUUUUGGAAGAUAUGGUAGCUAUUCUCUUCAUCACUUCCGCAUCUAGGACACUGGGAAUUCCUAACAACCCUUUUGAUUUUGAGGUUGUUAAAAGUUGGGAUAAAGUUCCAAGAGAUCCUCCAUACUGUCAUUUGAAUUUUUGAGGGAAUAUGUAAUUUCCAUAAUUUAGUAUAGAAAUUUUUUUCCUCGGUAUGUAACAUUAAUCCAUUAGGAUCAAGGUUAGUCUGCUGUAAUAGUUUAUAAGCACUCCUUACGGAGAACUCCCCUGUCGGUUCUCCUCUCCAUGCUUGAACGUCCUCUUAUACUGUCUCCGCCAGUGGGAUCUGUAAAAUUUUCUCCGUAAUGACCAGUUGGAAG
rnacentral:lncRNA from 1 species